rnacentral:rRNA from 1 species
GACGGAGGGGGCAAGCGUUGUCCGGACUCACUGGGCGUAAAGGGUGCGUAGGCGGUCUUGUGCGUCGGCGCUGAAAUCACACGGCUCAACCGUGUGGCGCGUGCCGAUACGACGAGACUUGAGGCUCUGAGAGGGUGGCGGAACUCCUGGUGUAGUGGUGAAAUGCGUAGAGAUCAGGAAGAACACCCGUGGCGCAAGCGGCCACCUGGCAGAGUUCUGACGCUGAGGCACGAAAGCGUGGGGAGCGAACAGG